GCAUUUGAGGUGUGUGUGGCAUUUGAGGUGUGUGUGGCAUUUGAGGUGUGUGUGUGUGUGUGGCAUUUGUGGUGUGUGUGUGGCUUUUGAGGGUGUGUGUGUGUGUGUGUGGCAUGUGUGUGUGGCAUUUGUGGUGUGUGUGUGGCAUUUGAGGUGUGUGUGUGGCAUUUGAGGUGUGUGUGUGGCAUUUGAGGUGUGUGUGUGGCAUUUGAGGUGUGUGUGUGGCAUUUGAGGUGUGUGUGUGGCAUUUGAGGUGUGUGUGUGGCAUUUGAGGUGUGUGUGUGGCAUUUGAGGUGUGUGUGUGGCAUUUGAGGUGUGUGUGUGGCAUUUGAGGUGUGUGUGUGGCAUUUGAGGUGUGUGUGUGGCAUUUGAGGUGUGUGUGUGGCAUUUGAGGUGUGUGUGUGGCAUUUGAGGUGUGUGUGUGGCAUUUGAGGUGUGUGUGUGGCAUUUGAGGUGUGUGUGUGGCAUUUGAGGUGUGUGUGUGGCAUUUGAGGUGUGUGUGUGGCAUUUGAGGUGUGUGUGUGUGGCAUUUGAGGUGUGUGUGUGUGGCAUUUGAGGUGUGUGUGUGUGGCAUUUGAGGUGUGUGUGUGGCAUUUGAGGUGUGUGUGUGGCAUUUUUGAGGUGUGUGUGUGGCAUUUGUGGUGUGUGUGUGGCAUUUGAGGUGUGUGUGGCAUUUGAGGUGUGUGUGGCAUUUGAGGUGUGUGUGGCAUUUGAGGUGUGUGUGGCAUUUGAGGUGUG